rnacentral:tRNA from 1 species
GGCUCGGUAACUAGUUGGUAAAGCACUCGUCUAGCACACAAGAGACGUGGGUUCGAACCCACCUGAGCAC